CAGCCGCCGCGGUAACACGGAGGGGGCUAGCGUUGUUCGGAAUUACUGGGCGUAAAGCGCACGUAGGCGGCUUGGUAAGUUAGAGGUGAAAGCCCGGAGCUCAACUCCGGAAUUGCCUUUAAGACUGCCGAGCUAGCAGGUGAGAGAGGUAAGUGGAAUUCCGAGUGUAGAGGUGAAAUUCGUAGAUAUUCGGAAGAACACCAGUGGCGAAGGCGGCUUACUGGCUCAUACUGGACGCUGAGGUGCGAAAGCGUGGGGAGCAAACAGGAUUAGAUACCCGCGUAGUCCCUGUCUCUUAUAC
rnacentral:rRNA from 1 species